CUCCUCCCAACUCUGCGCAGGGCCAAGCCCUUCUGCCCCGCACCGUCCCGUUACCCCUGGACCUCGGGCCGCCAGCCCCUUCCACCUGCAGUCUCCCGCUGCUCUCGCGGGGGCUUUUCGUGUGUCCCCCGAGAUGUCGAGGAAGCCAGAUGAGUUCCUCGCGACAGGCGGUGCCUUUUGCAGGAGGGGACAGGUAGCUGAGGCCUGGACAGAAUGACAGGCCAGGCUCAGGGGACACAGGGGAGACCCCCUCACUGGGCUGCCAGUUCCCGGGCUUGGGGCAUCCCAGGACGUCAGCGUCUGCAGCCUUACCUCCUGACACCUAAGGCCAGAGACAGAGCGGGCCCACGCCUUCGGAGGUCCUGAUGUCCAGCUUGGAGGUCAAGGGCAAAGCCACCACCUUUCACAAUACGAGGCCAGACCACCUGCCUCCCGCCAGUCCCUGCGGCCUGGAGACCGAGUCAACAUUCUUAUCUGUGUUGGUUCUGAAUGUUCCUCCUUGCAAAAGAAAACAAGGAGUGGACGUUCAGGCUGAUGGCCAGCUUCAAAGAUUGGGGCCUUUGAUUCCCAUCGCUGGGAAGAAAGCCCUUCAGACAAGCCCCCUGGGCUGCGGUGCAUGGGGACCUUGAAGAACCCGUACCCAUGGUCCCACGUCCAUGUAUGUUGAGACCUGUCACAUCCUCGCUGAAACUCAAGAACGUGAAACAGAGCCCAGUUCUCCCGCGGUGACUGUGAUCCUUCUUCCUGGGGAGUCCUGCUCUCCCUGACCAGGGGCACCUGCCCACCUGUCAGCUGCUCCUCCCUCAGCUGGUCCUCCUGGGCUCUGAUGGCCCCAACAUUUCUAGCUCUUCUCACCCACGGUGCCCCAGCUUCAUGCAGCUGCAGCAGGACACAGUAACAAGCUGUCAUCUUGGGAGGAGACACCAGGCCCUGACCAGACGCUGAACCUGCGCAGCCCCCAGAACUGUGAGAAAUAAAUUUCUGUUCUUUAUAAA